rnacentral:rRNA from 1 species
CGGCGUGCUUAACACAUGCAAGUCGAACGCGAAAGGGACUUCGGUCCUGAGUAAAGUGGCGCACGGGUGAGUAACGCGUAGAUAACCUGUCUUCAUGUCUGGAAUAAUACGCCGAAAGGGGUACUAAUACCGGAUAUUCUUGCUUUUCAUAAGUUAUGCAAGCAAAGGUGGCCUCUGCAUAUGCUACUGCAUGAAGAGGGGUCUGCGUACCAUUAGCUAGUAGGUGGGGUAAUGGCCUACCUAGGCGACGAUGGUUAGCGGGUCUGAGAGGAUGAUCCGCCACACUGGCACUGGAACACGGGCCAGACUCCUACGGGAGGCAGCAGUGAGGAAUAUUGCGCAAUGGGGGAAACCCUGACGCAGCGACGCCGCGUGAGUGAGGAAGGCCUUCGGGUCGUAAAGCUCUGUCAAGAGGAAAGAAGUGUACAAUGGCUAAUACCUGUUGUAUUUGACGGUACCUCUAAAGGAAGCACCGGCUAACUCCGUGCCAGCCGCCGC